GACGAACGCUGGCGGCGUGCCUAACACAUGCAAGUCUAACGGAAAGGCUCCAGCUUGCUGGAGUACUCGAGUGGCGAACGGGUGAGUAACACGUGGGUAAUCUGCCCUGCACUCUGGGAUAAGCCUGGGAAACUGGGUCUAAUACUGGAUAUGACCUUUCUCCUUAUGGGGUUUGGUGGAAAGUUUUUCGGUGUAGGAUGAGCCCGCGGCCUAUCAGCUUGUUGGCGGGGUGAUGGCCUACCAAGGCGACGACGGGUAGCCGGCCUGAGAGGGUGAUCGGCCACAUUGGGACUGAGAUACGGCCCAGACUCCUACGGGAGGCAGCAGUGGGGAAUAUUGCACAAUGGGCGGAAGCCUGAUGCAGCGACGCCGCGUGAGGGAUGACGGCCUUCGGGUUGUAAACCUCUUUCAGCAGGGACGAAGCGUAAGUGACGGUACCUGCAGAAGAAGCACCGGCUAACUAUGUG
rnacentral:rRNA from 1 species